AGGAUCAUUAUUGAAUAAGCUGGUUGGGUUGUUGCUGGCUCUCCGGGGCAUGUGCACACCUGACACCAACUUUUUACCACCUGUGCACCUUCUGUAGACCUGGAUAAACUCUCGAGGAAACUCGGUUUGAGGAUUGCUGUGUGUAAAAGCCAACUUUCCUUGUAACUUCCGGUCUAUGUCUUUAUAUAUAUACCCCUACAGUAUGCCUAAGAAUGUUUGUUGUUGGGCUUGAAUGCCUUUAAACUUAAUACAACUUUCAACAACGGAUCUCUUGGCUCUCGCAUCGAUGAAGAACGCAGCGAAAUGCGAUAAGUAAUGUGAAUUGCAGAAUUCAGUGAAUCAUCGAAUCUUUGAACGCACCUUGCGCUCCUUGGUAUUCCGAGGAGCAUGCCUGUUUGAGUGUCAUGAAAUUCUCAACCUUNUCAGCUUUCUUUGUUGAUCAGGCUUGGAUGUGGGGGUAUGUGGGCUUCUCAGAAGUCGGCUCUCCUGAAAUGCAUUAGCGGGACCUUUGUUGCCUGGCUUUGGUGUGAUAAUUAUCUACGCCAUUGUGGCCAAGCAGCUUAAAAUGAGGUUUAAGCUUCUAACCGUCUCACUGAGACAACUUUUUGACAAUUUGACCUCAAAUCAGGUAGGACUACCCGCUGAACUUAAGCAUAUC
rnacentral:rRNA from 1 species